AUGAACUCUUCUCUAGGCUUAGUGACUGUGAUGCUCUUAAUACUUGGAAGCACCCGUGGAGACUCGGUGACGCAGAAGGAAGGCCAAGUGACCCUCCCAGAAGGGGCUAACCUCACCAUAAACUGCACUUAUUCAGCCACAGGGUACCCCACCCUUUUCUGGUAUGUCCAGUAUCCUGGGGAAGGUCCACAGCUCCUCCUGAGAGCCACGAAAGCCAAUGAGAAGGGAAGCAGCAGAGGUUUUGAAGCCUUGUACAAUAAAGACAGCAGCUCCUUCCACUUGGAGAAAUCGUCAGUGCAAGAGUCCGACUCGGCCGUGUACUACUGUGCUCUGAGUGACACAGUGACUGGGACUGCAGGGGGAGCUGAGCACAAACUCUGA